GUUGCUAGGAAGAAGGACGCCUCAGUCGCCAGGCCGCUUCCGGUGUGUCACUGAAAGCCUUCCCAGUACCAGCAGCCGGAGGAUCUGUUUUUGGUGGGACCUAGGAUACUCAGGCGGGGUGUGCGGAGCGCUUGACCUUCCACAGUGUCCGGCACACGCAGGCUUUUCGACAUCAUCACCUGACCUGCUGCUAUAGGAAGCUCAAGGAGAUAUGCACCUGCGAAUUAGCAUGAACCCACGCAGGUCUUCCUGGCUCAGAGUUCCAGCUUCACAUCACUGUGUCCCACUGAAACAAUGAAGCACAAACUGGAAGAAGAAAGAUGUGAGAUGUGAAUACUCAACAAAAUUUUUGAUACAGGGAAGGCUUUUCAAAUUAAGAAAUGAUGAACAUUUUUCAUAAAGUUGAUUACAUGAAAUUUAAAGGAAGCUUUUCACAAGGCCUGGCAAGUGUGAACAAAUUAGCAAACCCCAGCAUUGCAUUUCAGUGCCAGCCAGAAUGAGCAUGCCCAGAAUUGUCCAGGCAGAGCUCUCGGCCUGAGCUUUGGGGACCUAACCAGGAGACAUUUCUUCUUUCCAGCCUUCAAGAAAGAUCAAACACUAUAGACCACUCACUUCCUGACUCACCUUUUCCUGGCCAAAAGCUUCUAGCUGGGCAGGUAGUACUCUGGCAGGUAAAUGGGUGUUUGUUGUCAAACCCUAGUCUCAUACAAAGAGAAUCUGGGGGAGCCAACGUGGGGCUGGUGGGGUACAUGUGGAAGGAGAUGUUCUGAUGUCUGUGUGGAGGUAAGGAGAUGGCAAGCUGGGAGUGUGUGGUGCAGACAGGUCAGCACUGGGGCAAUGAUAACCUGGAAAGAGAUCAUGAGAUAGCAAGCACAGCCCUCCACACACGUUGUGUGGUCUCAGAAUGCCAGGAAGGAGUUGAGGCUGGGAGAAACUUCCAGGAUGAUGGAGUGCAGUCCCAGGACCUCAGUGAUGUGUGCAGAGUGGGGCAUUAGGGAAUACAAGGUCAUUUCAAUGACACAUAGGUACACACACAUUCAUCCUCACACCUAGAUCACCAGUAACAACCCAGAUCCCUGGGUUCCCUGCUGCUGUGGUCUAAAUGUUUGUGUACCCUCAAAAUUCCUAUGUUGAAAUUCUAGCCCCAAAAUAAUGGUGUUAGGAGGCAGGGCUUCCUAACAGGAAGUGAUUAAGUCAUGAGGGUGAAGAUUGAAUGAGUGGAAUUAGUGCCUUUAUAAAAGAGGCCAUAGGCU